CCCCCCUCUCCAUGUAAUCUGAUUCAUUAUGAUCUAGGAUCAGGUCCCUCCUCUCCAUGUAAUCUGAUUCAUUAUGAUCUAGGAUCAGGUCCCCCCUCUCCAUGUAAUCUGAUUCAUUAUGAUCUAGGAUCAGGUCCCCCCUCUCCAUGUAAUCUGAUUCAUUAUGAUCUAGGAUCAGGUCUCCCUCUCCAUGUAAUCUGAUUCAUUAUGAUCUAGGAUCAGGUCCCUUCUCUCCAUGUAAUCUGAUUCAUUAUGAUCUAGGAUCAGGUCCCCCUCUCCAUGUAAUCUGAUUCAUUAUGAUCUAGGAUCAGGUCCCCCUCUCCAUGUAAUCUGAUUCAUUAUGAUCUAGGAUCAGGUCCCCCUCUCCAUGUAAUAUGAUUCAUUAUGAUCUAGGAUCAGG